rnacentral:misc_RNA from 1 species
GAUGAAGAACGCAGCGAAAUGCGAUAAGUAAUGUGAAUUGCAGAAUUCAGUGAAUCAUCGAAUCUUUGAACGCACAUUGCGCCCGCCAGUAUUCUGGCGGGCAUGCCUGUUCGAGCGUCAUUUCAACCAUCAAGCCCCAGGCUUGUGUUGGGGACCUGCGGCUGCCGCAGGCCCUGAAAACCAGUGGCGGGCUCGCUAGUCACACCGAGCGUAGUAGCAUACACAUCGCUCAGGGCGUGCUGCGGGUUCCGGCCGUUAAACCCCUUUUUUACCCAAGGUUGACCUCGGAUCAGGUAGGAAGGCCCGCUGAACUUAAGCAUAUCAAUAAGCGGAGGA